rnacentral:rRNA from 1 species
CAGCCGCCACGGGAAUACAGAGGGUGCGAGCGUUAAUCGGAUUUACUGGGCGUAAAGCGUGCGUAGGCGGCUUUUUAAGUCGGAUGUGAAAUCCCUGAGCUUAACUUAGGAAUUGCAUUUGAUACUGGGAAGCUAGAGUAUGGGAGAGGAUGGUAGAAUUCCAGGUGUAGCGGUGAAAUGCGUAGAGAUCUGGAGGAAUACCGAUGGCGAAGGCAGCCAUCUGGCCUAAUACUGACGCUGAGGUACGAAAGCAUGGGGAGCAAACAGGAUUAGAUACCCCAGUAGUCCCUGUCUCUUAUAC